AUUGAACGCUGGCGGAAUGCUUUACACAUGCAAGUCGCACGAGAAAGUCCCAGCUUGCUGGGGCAAGUAAAGUGGCGCACGGGUGAGUAACGCGUGGGUAAUCUACCUCCGAAUUGGGGAUAACACUGCGAAAGCGGUGCUAAUACCGAAUGACAUCCCCGGGACUCCGGUCCUGGUGAUCAACGGUGGCCUCUACAUGUAAGCUAUCGUUUGCCGAUAAGCCCGCGUACCAUUAGCUAGUUGGUAGGGUAACGGCCUACCAAGGCGACGACCAGUAGCCGGCCUGAGAGGGUGAUCGGCCACACUGGAACUGAGACACGGUCCAGACUCCUACGGGAGGCAGCAGUGGGGAAUUUUGCGCAAUGGACGAAAGUCUGACGCAGCAACGCCGCGUGGGUGAUGAAGGUCUUCGGACUGUAAAACCCUGUCGUCAGGGACGAAGGUGGCAGUGUUAAUAGCGCUGUUACUUGACGGUACCUGGAGAGGAAGCCCCGGCUAACUCUGUGCCAGCAGCCGCAGUAA
rnacentral:rRNA from 1 species